rnacentral:sRNA from 1 species
AUUAGCGUAUAGAAUAAACUAAUGUAACUAAGCGAAAAGUUUGUUUUUUGCAUUCUGUCAUACAUUUCGUGAUCUAUGUUACAGACAGUAGACUAUAUUAUUUGUUGUACUGUAAGCUACGCUAGUCUUUUUUCUUAAAGGUAAGUUUUGAUGUCAAAAGUUAAAGGUAACGUUAAGUGGUUUAAUGAAUCCAAAGGAUUCGGUUUUAUCACGCCAGAAGAUGGUAGCAAAGAUGUUUUUGUACACUUUUCCGCCAUUCAAACUAACGGAUUCAAGACGCUGGCUGAAGGCCAAAAAGUAGAGUUUGAUAUUGCUGAGGGUGAGAAAGGUCCAUCUGCUGCGAACGUUGUCGCAAUCUAAUUUCAAAUCCUACGUAUUUCUGAAAAACCCGUGUUGGUUGAUAGCGGGUUUUUUU